UGGACUUUUAUGGUUACGUCUUUACUCUUCAAACAAAUUAAUUUAUGAAAUUAAACGCAAUAUUACAACUUGGCCGCUAGAGCGAUGAGAAAAGUGUUUGUUACGGCAAUAAAUAUCUUUUUAUCGCUUUAUUACACAUCAGUAAAUCACACGACAAGUGAUAUAACGACUCGUGGAUACCUACUAGUCUAAUCUGAAAGAAGGAUGGAAAUUUCCGGCAGAUUUCAAUUGAUGUAUGCUAGCAGCUGCAGUUGUUACUAUUAUCACAGUUAAAGCUGAUCAAAAAGUGUGGCUAGACGGUCGGUCCUGUUGCUGGAAAUUGCAGAGGAGAAACAGGUCUUACCUGUCACUUUUGCGACAUUCCAUUAUCUACCUGGACAUGGAGUAGAAAAUAUGAUGAUUCUUGGCAUACUUUUAUAGAACAUGGAACGCAGAUAGAUCCAGAUCCUUCCAUCGUUCGAGAAGAAAUGAAUGGGUCUUUUUCGUUAAUAAUAGGAGGCGCUAAUAACAAUGGCACGUGGAUGGUACAAAUGCGGAGUGGGACACUAUGCAUCUGAAGAAAAAUGGUUGGAUGUGGAAUGCAAACCCGAGAGUGCUGCAGUCAAUCUGACACCCGAAAAACAUUUAGAAAUUGUACUUAGAGACGUUCAUCCAGUCCCAAACAUUGAUUUCAGUUUGAAGG
rnacentral:lncRNA from 1 species